CCGCCAGGCACAAGGCCUGGCGGCCAAUGGCGCGCGCCUGAGCCCGGGGCACCGGAGGCUACAACGUCAAUCAAAAGGAUUUUAACCCUUUGAUACUAUCCCUGCUGGGCUUUGCUUUAGGCAGGAUUUUUUCCGCAUUGGUUUUGCUCUAGUUUAGUUUAUUUCUUUGGGGGCUACGGUCUUUGCUCUUCAUUUCCUUUCAAAUGGGUAAUAGAGCUGCUUUGACGCUAAGUUAAUUUGAAAAAUAUUUUUAAAAGGUUUAGAAGGACAGGGUAAAAGAUUAUACUUGCAGUGGUUAAAAGGGGGAACGUGUGCAAGGGUGUGAGUUACCGAAACAUCCAAGCAAUUUCCCGCUCAGACUAUACAUUGGGGGGGUGGGGGUGAAAGUCGAUCAUGCAGAAAUAGAACAAAAAAAAAUGUCCUUUUGUCAUGCAGAAAAGGGAAAAAAAUGCCUCCCACCUUACAUUUGCAGGUCGUUCAGAGCAAGGUGGUUUUUGAUCUUCACCCCUCAUUCCUCUUCAGGAGUUGGGGCUUGGAUCCCGCUCUUCCCCUGGAAAUAAUCAGAAUAAUUUCCAACUGGGCAGAAAGGAAAUAGAAUUUCAAAUGAAAGAUGAACAAGGAGGACUUUGAUGGCAAUGCCUUAGGGAUGCGCCAUCUCCACCCUUUCCCUUUCCACCCGCAGGCUCUCGCUCGGUUCGGUGGCACUUAGAGGUGGCGGGCUGUGCAGGAGCCUCUCCCCUCCUCCUCGCCAGGCGGGCGGGCGGAGGCGGCGGCGCAGCCUCAGCACCAGGCGCAGGCGGGCCCUUUAAGAGCGACACCAGCCGAGCUGCAGUUUGACAUCAGCCGGCCGGCGAGGGCGCGCCUGGAGCCGGAGCACGUGCCAGGAUGUUUUAUUGCCGCCGCGGCUGCGGCCGGGGCCGGGAGGAUGUGUGUGUGCGUGCGUGUGUGAGUGUGUGUGCGCGCGCCCCGGGGGCAGAGAGGCGGGGGGCGGCGGCGGGCGGCGGAGCGCGGGGGCUGGUUCCUGGUCCCCAGGAGAAGCCAAGAAGAUUCCCUGCAGCCUGCCAGAGACGUGGUCGCUGCCCUGCCAAGAGCUAUCUGGGAGAGCUAUUGAAAGAGUCUUGAGGAUGCUUCCUGAGAAGAAAUAUUCUUCUCCAGUCACUGAUGUUUUAGCAUUUCAGCAUCUGUGGAAGGUGAUGCCAUUGACCUGCCUUCCAUAGAGGACCCUAUCCAGGCUUCCACAGUGUAUUUAGUUAUCUCAUCUCCUUCAUCUGCUUCACUCUGUGGCAGCUCCACCAUCUUUCCUUGUCUUUCAUGACACUUUCAAGAGUCCUAGUCAGUUGUUUCAUAGAAUGUCCUCCACUGGGUCUGUCUGACAUUUCCUCGUGGCAAUAUUGAGGAGCUGCAUUAUUGGGAAGAACACCCAGACGUACCUGACGUUGUAUUUCACUGCCGUUAAACAUGAUCACAAGGUGCAGCCUCGGAGACAAACAGGCUCUCAGACGCCCCUGCGGCUCAGGGACCCUGGAACACAGAGCCGGCACCGAGCGCUUGGUCGGCAUGGUGCUUGGUUUGUUGGUACAUGGCAUACGGUGGGAUGAAAACAUUAUGUUUCCUCUUAGUUAUCCAAGCACAUUUUGCAUUAUACUUCACAUAUAUCCGUACUUUUUUUUCAUGUAAAAAUAACUGUUUUUGCCUCUCCCUCUGGCCAAUCUUUCAAGUAAAGUUAAAAUUCCAGAAUUCCUCUUGUUGGUCCAAUCUGUGUCCCUGGGGGUCCUGUGUAGCUCAGCCCAAGAAGUCAGAUGAGGAGCACAGGGAGAAACAGGCAUCACUGAGCGGUCAUUUACUGCUAAUGAAUUUUGUCUCUUUAUCUACUGAUUGACUGAAUGUAUCAAAAUGCAUCUGGUUAGAAAUUUUAAGCAGUACAAAAGUAACCCUUCCAGCCCAGUGGCUCAGUGGUUGAGCAUCGACCUAUGAAUCAGCAGGUCACGGUUUGAUUCCCAGUCGGAGCACAUGCCCAGGUUGUGGGCUCAAUCCCCAGUGUGGGGCAAUCAAUGGUUCUCUCUCAUCAUUGGUGCUUCUAUCUCUUUCUACCUCUCCCUUCCUCUCUGAAAUCAAUAAAAAUACAUUUUAAAAAAGUAA